GAUGAACGCUGGCGGCGUGCCUAAUACAUGCAAGUCGAGCGAACAGACGCGGAGCUUGCUCCUCUGACGUUAGCGGCGGACGGGUGAGUAACACGUGGAUAACCUACCUAUAAGACUGGGAUAACUUCGGGAAACCGGAGCUAAUACCGGACAAUAUAUUUAACCGCAUGGUUCAAUAGUGAAAGAUGGUUUUGCUGUCACUUAUAGAUGGCUCCGCGCCGCAUUAGCUAGUUGGUAAGGUAACGGCUUACCAAGGCAACGAUGCGUAGCCGACCUGAGAGGGGGAUAGGCCACACUGGAACGGAGACACGGUCCAGACUCCUACGGGAGGCAGCAGUAGGGAAUCUUCCGCAAUGGGCGAAAGCCUGACGGAGCAACGCCGCGUGAGUGAUGAAGGUCUUCGGAUCGUAAAACUCUGUUAUUAGGGAAGAACAAAUGUGUAAGUAACUAUGCACGUCUUGACGGUACCUAAUCAGAAAGCCACGGCUAACUACGUG
rnacentral:rRNA from 1 species